rnacentral:lncRNA from 1 species
CUUCUCGCGGGUGGUCCGGGCUUGCGGCCCGGCGGGCUGGGCCGGCGGGAGGGCUGGGGGCCAGGUUGGGGGGGUGGGGGUGGCAUCGAGGCUGCGCUGCCGUGGCCCUCUCCGCCCCCCCUCCCCACCGCACACCCCCCAGCCCAGACUCCAGCCCUGGACCGCGCAUCCCGAGCCCAGCGCCCAGACAGAGGACUGUCUGGCCCGCCCUUCUGCCACCAAGCUAACCUCAUGUCCGGCCCCCACAGUUAUGGGCCAGCCAGAGAGACCAACAGCUGCACCGAGGGCCCACUCUUUUCUUCUCCCCGGAGUGCAGUCAAGUUGACCAAGAAGCGGGCACUGUCCAUCUCACCUCUGUCGGAUGCCAGCCUGGACCUGCAGACGGUUAUCCGCACCUCACCCAGCUCCCUCGUAGCUUUCAUCAACUCGCGAUGCACAUCUCCAGGAGGCUCCUACGGUCAUCUCUCCAUUGGCACCAUGAGGUGCAGUCAGCCCCGGGCCAAGAGGCCCCUAAAGCCCCUACCCAAGUCCAUUAAAAGUCUCAAGCCCUCAAACUACCU